rnacentral:rRNA from 1 species
CGGCGGACGGGUGAGUAAUGCCUAGGAAUCUGCCUGGUAGUGGGGGACAACGUUUCGAAAGGAACGCUAAUACCGCAUACGUCCUACGGGAGAAAGCAGGGGACCUUCGGGCCUUGCGCUAUCAGAUUAGCCUAGGUCGGAUUAGCUAGUUGGUGAGGUAAUGGCUCACCAAGGCGACGAUCCGUAACUGGUCUGAGAGGAUGAUCAGUCACACUUGAACUGAGACACGGUCCAGACUCCUACGGGAGGCAGCAGAC